rnacentral:rRNA from 1 species
UACAAUGGAGAGUUUGAUCCUGGCUCAGGAUGAACGCUAGCGGCAGGCUUAAUACAUGCAAGUCGAGGGGCAGCACGAAUAGCAAUAUUUGGUGGCGACCGGCGCACGGGUGCGUAACACGUAUACAACCUACCUAUAACAGGGGGAUAGCCUUUCGAAAGAGAGAUUAAUACCCCGUAAUAAAUUGAACGGCAUCGUUUGAUUUUGAAAGCUCCGGCGGUUAUAGAUGGGUAUGCGUCUGAUUAGCUAGUUGGUGAGGUAACGGCUCACCAAGGCGACGAUCAGUAGGGGAUCUGAGAGGACUAACCCCCACACUGGUACUGAGACACGGACCAGACUCCUACGGGAGGCAGCAGUAAGGAAUAUUGGUCAAUGGAGGCAACUCUGAACCAGCCAUGCCGCGUGCAGGAUGACGGCCCUAUGGGUUGUAAACUGCUUUUGUACCAGAGAAAACCCCAGUACGUGUACUGGGUUGAUAGUAUGGUAAGAAUAAGCAUCGGCUAACUUCGUGCCAGCAGCCGCGGUAAGACGAAGGAUGCAAGCGUUAUCCGGAUUCAUUGGGUUUAAAGGGUGCGUAGGCGGACUGAUAAGUCAGUGGUGAAAUCUCUCAGCUUAACUGAGAAACUGCCAUUGAUACUGUCGGUCUAGAGUAUAGAUGACGUUGGCGGAAUAUGACAUGUAGUGGUGAAAUACUUAGAUAUGUCAUAGAACACCGAUUGCGAAGGCAGCUAACGAAACUAUAACUGACGCUGAGGCACGAAAGUGCGGGGAUCAAACAGGAUUAGAUACCCUGGUAGUCCGCACCGUAAACGAUGAUUACUCGUUGUUGGCGAUAUGACAGUCAGCGACCAAGCGAAAGCGAUAAGUAAUCCACCUGGGGAGUACGCCGGCAACGGUGAAACUCAAAGGAAUUGACGGGGGCCCGCACAAGCGGAGGAGCAUGUGGUUUAAUUCGAUGAUACGCGAGGAACCUUACCUGGGCUUGAAAGUUAGCGACCGGUCCUGAAAGGGAUCUUCCAGCAAUGGCGCGAAACUAGGUGCUGCAUGGCUGUCGUCAGCUCGUGCCGUGAGGUGUUGGGUUAAGUCCCGCAACGAGCGCAACCCCUAUUGUUAGUUACCAGCGAGUAAUGUCGGGAACUCUAACGAAACUGCCCGUGCAAACGGUGAGGAAGGUGGGGACGACGUCAAGUCAUCACGGCCCUUACGUCCAGGGCUACACACGUGCUACAAUGGUCGGUACAACGGGCAGCUACACAGCGAUGUGAUGCUAAUCUCUAAAAACCGAUCUCAGUUCGGAUUGAAGUCUGCAACUCGACUUCAUGAAGCUGGAUUCGCUAGUAAUCGCGCAUCAGCAAUGGCGCGGUGAAUACGUUCCCGGGCCUUGUACACACCGCCCGUCAAACAAUGGAAGUUGAGGGUAUCUAAAGUCGGUAGCUGCAAGGCGCUGCCUAGGGUAAACUUGAUAACUGGUGUUAAGUCGUAACAAGGUAGCCGUACCGGAAGGUGCGGCUGGAAUACCUCCUUU